rnacentral:rRNA from 1 species
GCGUGCCUAACACAUGCAAGUCGAACGAGAAAGUGGAGCAAUCCAUGAGUAAAGUGGCGACCGGGUGAGUAACACGUGACUAACCUGCCCUCGAGUGGGGAAUAACCCCGGGAAACCGGGGCUAAUACCGCAUAACAUCGCAAGAUCAAAGCCGAAAGGCGCUUGAGGAGGGGGUCGCGGCUGAUUAGCUAGUUGGUAGGGUAACGGCCUACCAAGGCCAAGAUCGGUAGCCGGCCUGAGAGGGCGCACGGCCACACUGGAACUGAAACACGGUCCAGACUCCUACGGGAGGCAGCAGUGGGGAAUUUUGCGCAAUGGGGGAAACCCUGACGCAGCAACGCCGCGUGGAGGAUGAAGUCCUUUGGGACGUAAACUCCUUUCGACCCGGACGAUACUGACGGUACGGGUGGAAGAAGCACCGGCUAACUCUGUGCCAGCAGCCGCGGUAAUACAGAGGGUGCGAGCGUUGUUCGGAAUUAUUGGGCGUAAAGGGCGCGUANGCGGUGCGGUAAGUCACCUGUGAAAUCUCCCGGCUCAACUGGGAGCUUGCAGGCGAAACUGCCGUGCUGGAGUGUGGGAAAGGUGCGUGGAAUUCCCGGUGUUACGGUGAAAUGC